UUGAUGGCAUACAAUCUACACUUCACGUGACUGCAUUUCUUGAGUGUAGCCAACUCCGUGACUUCACCUCAACACCCAGCUCUCUCUCUACUUCUCUGCACACUCCCCCGUGGAUUCUUGGGAGUGUGGAGGCAACAUUUUUUUUUUGACUUCAUGAUUUCUUUUCCUGUCUCCCUUUCUCCUCGCUGUCUCUCCUUCUUGGCAGCGGGGAAAAAGUGGGCAGGCAGAGAAGAGGGCAUGGCCCAGAAACUGCUCUCAAGCCCCAGCCCCUGUUCGAGUGGGGUUCCUCGCUGGUAUACUACUCAGCCUUUCCCUCGUCUUGCAGGCGAAAGAAAGGGAUGUGGAUGCAUUCUUGUCUCCUUUCUAACCCGCCGUUUUUUGCGGGCCUGACCUGAACUACAAAAAGUAACCUUCAGAUUCAGCUUGGCACGCAGACAAUGGCGAUUUUCUUGGCACCAAAUAUUGGGAGAGCAUCGCGUAAGAGAACCGCCCUCAGUCUUCUCCCUCACAGCCGUCCCCGAAAUUCCGCCGAUCAUCAUGGAUCACCGCCAACUUGUGAUGGUUUGACUGAUGCGUUUCCACCGCUGGCUGCAUACAUCUCUGUCCUUAAGGCUGAGGAGACAGGCUGAGCUGCUGCGAUGCACACGAGGAGCUCCAUGGAUGAAGGAACUCAAGGACCAAGUACUCAACUCUGCUUUGUCUGCAAUCUCUUCAGGGGAGACUUUGUUUUUAAAAGGUGCAGUUUUGGAUCAUGUUCUGAAUUAAGCACGUAUUGAGUGAGAACUGGUGUUUCAAGAUGCUGUGCUUGAAGUUGAGCCUAGCAAGGUGAGGUAGUAGGUUGUAUAGUUUAUGGGAUGGAGUCAAUCCUACUCAGGCGUUAACUAUACAGUCUAUUACCUUCCUUGAGAGGUACAAUGAGUGCUUGGGCGGAAGCUACUGCUCUUGUGGCGAGGGAGCCACUCUGGUGCCAUCUUGUGGCUAUAGACUAUCAUCACCCUGGAAAUGAUCCGAGCUUCGUCUCCGUUGUGUGUACGAGGAGAUUUAUGAAAACAACCUGAAGAUGAAAGUAUCUCUAAGUCCUUUUGAUCUAAGAGUAAUUCAUUAAGCAUUUCAGCACUAGAAGUAGAUCCUGAGAGAUGUUAGAAGACCAGAAGACACAAACACCGGCUCAUUGUCUGUAAUCUUUUGUGUAAACAGGACAAUAAAGAACAUAUUUAAUAGCCGUUUCAAUUUUCUCAACAAUAAAUCAAAACAACCCCAUAACUACGGAGUCGACUGAUGGAAUAAAGUCGACGUGGUUGAUGUUUGCAGUCUCGCAAUCAUUUGUCAAAUCCAACACAUUCAAUAAUCUGCAACAACUGCAAUAAACCCAAAUACGAAGGUGGUUGAUAACUGCUGAAUUAAAUCACUGACAUGUGGUGAAGUACAACUGAAUUUGUUAGUUUUUCUUGCAAUAAAAAUAUCACACUUUGACUGAAUUUUGUGCCUCAAACAAAAUCCAAUGUUUUCAUUUGUUUCACAUAUGAAUGAAGAUGCAGUUUAUAAAAUACCAAUUUGAAAUCA